rnacentral:lncRNA from 1 species
GAAAGACAUAGGUUUGGUUUUGUAUGUUUAUUUUUUACAUUAUAUAAAAAUAUUUUGAUUCUGCCAAACUACUAUGAUAUUCUCAAAAGACAACUUCUUAUUUGAUGUGGACAUUCAUGCUGCAUUUCAGUUAAUGCACUUCUUGCCCCAGUUGACCCUAAGUUUUUAUUAGUUUUUGCCUCAUGGUUGCUGAUUUUUCAGUCAAGAGUAGUCUCCAGAAGAGUAAGCAUUUCUAAACUAGUUUACUUUCUCAUCUUUGACUAGCAAUACAGAGGCUGUAGAACCCCGUCCAAAGGAAACACUGCAGCAUCACCCUGGCCCCUUGGAGGAAGUCAUUGUGCUCUGUGUGUGAAGGCAGAAUACCCCCCUGGCAUCUAAAGCAACAGCUCUUGAAAGACCGUCCUCGUGCCUCUUAGCUCAUGCCCAGCAGGAAAGGGGAGGACUCUUGUUGUUGGCGCAUUGUUUGGUGGUUGGUUUGAGGCUCUUAGGUCAUUUCUCUUAGCACUCAUCUCUUUUUGCUCUUUGGACAUGUCUUAUGCUGCUGACUUCUAUCAUUUUUUGGUCCCUAAUUCCUGCACCAUUCCCUUCUAUGAUUUCAUGGUCAUUUCAGCAGACCCCAUGUAACAGAGGUCACUAGACAUCUCCACCUUCUCUGCAGUGCAUUCUGAAGGGUGAAUAGGCCUCCCUGGUGCUCCUGGGCCUAGGGCUAGCCUAUAGUUGCAGGCUCAUUCAUGGGUACAUUCUUUCUAGCUUUGUGUUCUGAGCUCCACUUAGUAUGUUUUAUUUCUAAUAUGAUCUUGCCAUGUACUAUGGUCCACAGGAUUAUUUUUAAAUGUGAUUUUAUUCAAAGUGUAAAAAAUUAGAGGCAACUUGUGCAACUUAGCAAGAUGCUGUCUCAAAAAAUAAAAAGGGCUAUUGAUGUAAUUCAAUGGUACAGUCACCAUUCAAUCCCCAGUACAAAACAACAAUAACAACAACAACAACAAAAACUUCUGUUCAAUGUCAGACUGGAAGUCCUAAUUAAUGUAAUAAGACAAGAGAAAGAAAUAACAGGUAUACUGAUUGAAAAGGAAGAAAUAAAACUCUUUUAUUUAUCUUAUUUGCAGAUGACAUGAUAGUCUAUGCAGAUUAUUCAAAAGCAUCAACAAGACAAAAACUUCCUGAAGCUACUAAGUGAUUAUAGCAAGGUUGCAGGAUACAAGGCUAAUAUAUAAGUUGUUCACUUUCUUGUAUACUUGCAAUGACAAGUGGGGUUUGAAUUAGAAACCAAUACCAUUAACACUAGCAUUCCCCAAAAUGAAAUACUUCAGCAUAAAUCUUAACAAAAUGUGUACCAGAUCUAUAUGAAGAAAACUACAAAAUUCUAAUAAAAUCAAAGAAGAACUAAAUAAGUGGAGAGAUAGUCUAUGUUCAUGGAUAGGAAGACUCAAUACUGUCAAGAUGUUAGUUCUUCCCAAAUUAACUUAUAGAUUCAAUGCAAUCCAUAUAAAAAUCUCC